UCUCUCUCUCUCUCUCUCUCUCUCUCUCUCUCUCUCUCUCUGUCUGUCCAAUGAUGGCGUCCAAACGUCCAUCGGAUAAUCUCAACCAAGGGGGCAGACUCACUGCACUCUCCAUCAAACAAAAACAUUUUUUAAAUGAAGCGAGGGUUAGUGCUUUUACAAUAAACCUACAUUUAGGUUGCUAUACAGUGCCAUUAUACAGUAACAUUUCAAGGAUCACAGUCAAACUAUAUUUUUCACAGAAACGGAGUAAUGGAGCAUCCAGAGAGGCUACUCCACUGAUUAAAAGGGGAUGUGUAGUUGGUCCACGAGGCAAGCCUAAGGGAAGAUGUGGUGGGCGAAGGCAGGGCUCAACUACUGGAACUCCUUCCAGUGCAGAGAAAUCCUCUCCGGAGCUCCAAACUCAAGAAGAAUUUGACCGAAACAUGGAGAAACUUUUGGAAAUGUUGAAGUCUUGCCCAGUUGCAAUGCCAACGGAGUCCCCACAAACCACUUCAUCUUGGCACUCACGUCACCUGACAGCACAAGAGCAUUGGAAAGAAGCUCGGCCAUUUCACCUGAAAUGUCUUCUGGACUCAGAGGAUGUUGGCCAGGAACUGUGCUACAUCUGCCAGAAGACUGCUGUCAUACGGUUGAACCACUUGUUUGCAUUUUCUAGCUACAUGUUUGGGAGUAAAAAGUAGUUAGCACCUCCAUUUUAGUCUGAAAACUGAAACACUAAAAUAGCUAGCUAAUAAACCUUGUUUUCCUUUCUUGGGUGCAGAGAUUGUCUUCCUGAGGAGUGGCUGUGUGAGGCAUGUGAUGUCCACAUUCAUAAAAGAUGGCCACUCCACAACAGAGACAGUGUGGUAGAUGGAUUCUUCAGAGCCAUUCCUCCAUCCACCUAUCUAGCUAUUGGUGAAGCUGGGCAGUACACCACCCAAGAGCAAGCUUGCAUUUUACCCACAGUGCGUGCUCCUAAAUUAUGUUCCUGUGAGGUCGCCAACGUCACUGUGUUGGCUGGAAAAGCAGUAAUCCUCAUUACCAUGAAUGGACGUUAUGACUUGCACAAACCUGUGUAUUUGUGCAAUAUCUGCCUGCAAAAGUGGACCCCAGAAGUCAGGGACCUGAUCAAAAGCGGAUAUUGUCCAGCUACAACACAUUCACAGACCCUAUACUCUCUUGACCUCCUAAGCUCUUUCCAGGAGUUGAAGGGGAUUCUCCAGGCUUGUCCAGGAAGGCCUUCACAAAGUUACUUGAACAUCGCACACAGCGUGCUGGAAGAUCUGGUCAAAUCAACGGGGAUGCACUGCAGCGGAGCUUUCUGGAGUUUAUGUACUGUUCCUUUCAGAAAGAGCAGCUCUGCUGUGUGACCCCAUUCACCUGUCCAGCCUGCACACCACAAACAGUUGCCGUGUCAGUUGAUGGUAAUCGUAAGAUUUAUCACUUUCGGCGAUCAGGAAGCUCUGAUGAAGCUGCAUUUUUUGACAUGCUGUUCCUUGCAAAGGACAGUGAGGUGGCAAGUUUUGUUGGCCUCAUCCACAGUGCUGUAAAAAGCACACAAGGGAGGGGCACGUGUGGUGCCUCACAUUGGACAGCCGCAAGGGACACAUCCAGGAGGGCCAACAAGCUAGAUGAGGAAGGUGUUGAGGUGGCUAUGUGUCACCACGGAUAUUUGCUGAAAGGCCUCAGCAUGUACGGGGGGGAGAUUUUUGCAUACCCACUGUAU